rnacentral:rRNA from 1 species
GAUGAACGCUGGCGGCGUGCCUAAUACAUGCAAGUCGAGCGAAUGGAUUAAGAGCUUGCUCUUAUGAAGUUAUCGGCGGACGGGUGAGUAACACGUGGGUAACCUGCCCAUAAGACUGGGAUAACUCCGGGAAACCGGGGCUAAUACCGGAUAACAUUUUGAACCGCAUGGUUCGAAAUUGAAAGGCGGCUUCGGCUGUCACUUAUGGAUAGACCCGCGUCGCAUUAGCUAGGUGGUGAGGUAACGGCUCACCAAGUCAACGAUGCGUAGCCGAGCUGGGAGGGGAGUCGGCCACACUGGGGCUGAGACACAGCCCAGACUCCUAGAGGAGGCAGCAGUAGGGAGUCUCCCGCAAUGGACGAAAGUGUGACGGAGCAACGCCGCGUGGGUGAUGAAGGCUUUCGGGUCGUAAAACUCCGUUGUUAGGGAAGAACAAGUGCUAGUUGAAUAAGCUGACACCUUGACGGUACCUAACCAGAAAGCCACGGCUAACUACGUGCCAGCAGCCGCGGUAA